rnacentral:rRNA from 1 species
UGAAGUUUUCGGAUGGAUUUAGAACAGCUUAGUGGCGGACGGGUGAGUAACGCGUGGGUAACCUGCCCUGGAGUGGGGGAUAACAGUUAGAAAUAGCUGCUAAUACCGCAUAAGCGCACAGUUCCGCAUGGAACAGUGUGAAAAACUCCGGUGGUGUGAGAUGGACCCGCGUCUGAUUAGCCAGUUGGCAGGGUAACGGCCUACCAAAGCGACGAUCAGUAGCCGACCUGAGAGGGUGACCGGCCACAUUGGGACUGAGACACGGCCCAGACUCC